rnacentral:rRNA from 1 species
GUUAUAUGGUCAAGCGAAUAAGCGCACACGGUGGAUGCCUUGGCGGUCAGAGGCGAUGAAGGACGUGGCAGCCUGCGAAAAGUAUCGGGGAGCUGGCAACAAGCUUUGAUCCGGUAAUGUCCGAAUGGGGAAACCCACCCGCUUGCGGGUAUCCUGCAGUGAAUACAUAGCUGCUGGAAGCGAACCUGGUGAACUGAAAUAUCUAAGUAACCAGAGGAAAAGAAAUCAACCGAGAUUCCGUAAGUAGCGACGAGCGAACGCGGACUAGCCCUUAAGCUGGAUUGGUUCUAGGAAAACGCUCUGGAAAGAGCGGCCAUAGAAGGUGAUAGCCCUGUAUCUGAAAGGGCCAUUCCAGUGAAGACGAGUAGGGCGGGGCACGUGAAACCCUGUCUGAACAUGGGGGGACCAUCCUCCAAGGCUAAAUACUACUGACCGACCGAUAGUGAACCAGUACCGUGAGGGAAAGGCGAAAAGAACCCCGGAGAGGGGAGUGAAAUAGAACCUGAAACCGUGUGCGUACAAGCAGUAGGAGCUCCGCAAGGAGUGACUGCGUACCUUUUGUAUAAUGGGUCAGCGACUUACUGUUCGUGGCAAGCUUAACCGUAUAGGGGAGGCGAAGGGAAACCGAGUCUGAUAAGGGCGCAUAGUCGCGGGCAGUAGACCCGAAACCGGGUGAUCUAGUCAUGCCCAGGGUGAAGGUGCGGUAACACGCACUGGAGGCCCGAACCCACUCCCGUUGCAAAGGUAGGGGAUGAGGUGUGAUUAGGAGUGAAAAGCUAAUCGAACCCGGAGAUAGCUGGUUCUCCUCGAAAGCUAUUUAGGUAGCGCCUCAUAUGUAUCCUCUCGGGGGUAGAGCACUGUUAUGGCUAGGGGGUCAUCGCGACUUACCAAACCAUUGCAAACUCCGAAUACCGAGACGGACUGUAUGGGAGACACACGGCGGGUGCUAACGUCCGUCGUGAAAAGGGAAACAACCCAGACCCACAGCUAAGGUCCCAAAUUCACUGCUAAGUGGAAAACCAUGUGGAAAGGCACAGACAGCCAGGAGGUUGGCUUAGAAGCAGCCACCCUUUAAAGAAAGCGUAAUAGCUCACUGGUCGAGUCGGUCUGCGGGGAAGAUUUAACGGGGCUAAGCAGUGAACCGAAGCUUGGGGUGCAUAACUUUGUUAUGCGCGGUAGAGGAGCGUUCCGUAAGCCGUUGAAGGUGGAUUGAGAAGUCUGCUGGAGGUAUCGGAAGUGCGAAUGCUGACAUGAGUAACGAUAAUGCGGGUGAAAAACCCGCACGCCGAAAGCCCAAGGUUUCCUUGCGCAACGUUAAUCGGCGCAGGGUGAGUCGGCCCCUAAGGCGAGGACGAAAGUCGUAGUCGAUGGGAAGCAGGUUAAUAUUCCUGCACCUCGCGUAAGUGCGAUGGAGGGACGGAGAAGGUUAGGUGUACCAGGCGUUGGUUGUCCUGGGGAAAGGCGGUAGGUUUGGAUCUUUGGCAAAUCCGGGAUCCUCUAAGACCGAGCACCGAGACGAGCCUUUAUGGCGAAGUCACUGAUACCACGCUUCCAGGAAAAGCUCCUAAGCUUCAGCUUACGCAGACCGUACCGUAAACCGACACAGGUGGGUAGGAUGAGAAUUCUCAGGCGCUUGAGAGAACUCGGGUGAAGGAACUAGGCAACAUGGCACCGUAACUUCGGGAGAAGGUGCACCCUUUUUGGUGGCUCGUGCGAGCUAUAGCUGAAGAGGGUCGCAGUAACCAGGCCGCUGCGACUGUUUAUCAAAAACACAGCACUCUGCAAACACGAAAGUGGACGUAUAGGGUGUGACGCCUGCCCGGUGCUGGAAGGUUAAUUGAUGGGGUCAGCCGCAAGGCGAAGCUCUUGAUCGAAGCCCCAGUAAACGGCGGCCGUAACUAUAACGGUCCUAAGGUAGCGAAAUUCCUUGUCGGGUAAGUUCCGACCUGCACGAAUGGCGUAACGACAGCGGCGCUGUCUCCACCCGAGACUCAGUGAAAUUGAAAUCGCUGUGAAGAUGCAGCGUUCCCGUGGCAAGACGGAAAGACCCCGUGAACCUUUACUAUAGCUUUACACUGAACGUUGAGUUCGUCUGUGUAGGAUAGGUGGGAGGCUAUGAAACUGUGGCGCUAGCUGCAGCGGAGCCAUCCUUGAAAUACCACCCUGUCGUGCUUGACGUUCUAACCUGGGCCCAUUAUCUGGGUCGGGGACCGUGUAUGGUGGGUAGUUUGACUGGGGCGGUCUCCUCCUAAAGAGUAACGGAGGAGCUCGAAGGUACGCUCAGCGCGGUCGGACAUCGCGCACUGUGUGCAAAGGCAUAAGCGUGCUUGACUGCAAGAUCGACGGAUCAAGCAGGUAGGAAACUAGGACUUAGUGAUCCGGUGGUUCUGUAUGGAAGGGCCAUCGCUCAACGGAUAAAAGGUACUCCGGGGAUAACAGGCUGAUACCGCCCAAGAGUUCAUAUCGACGGCGGUGUUUGGCACCUCGAUGUCGGCUCAUCACAUCCUGGGGCUGUAGUCGGUCCCAAGGGUAUGGCUGUUCGCCAUUUAAAGUGGUACGCGAGCUGGGUUCAGAACGUCGUGAGACAGUUCGGUCCCUAUCUGCCAUGGGCGUUGGAGAUUUGAGAGGGGCUGCUCCUAGUACGAGAGGACCGGAGUGGACGAACCUCUGGUGUUCCGGUUGUCACGCCAGUGGCAUUGCCGGGUAGCUAUGUUCGGAAGCGAUAACCGCUGAAAGCAUCUAAGCGGGAAGCGCGCCUCAAGAUGAGAUCUCCCGGGGCACAAGCCCCCUGAAGGAACCAUGUAGACUACGUGGUUGAUAGGUCAGGUGUGUAAGUACAGCAAUGUAUUGAGCUAACUGAUACUAAUGAUCCGUGCGGCUUGACCAUAUAACCU